rnacentral:rRNA from 1 species
UACGUAGGGGGCGAGCGUUGUCCGGAUUUAUUGGGCGUAAAAGGCUUGUAGGUGGCCACGUCAAGUCGGAUGUGAAAUCUCCCGGCUCAACUGGGAGGGGUCAUUCGAUACUGGCGGGCUCGAGGCCGGUAGGGGGAAGCGGAAUUCCCGGUGUAGUGGUGGAAUGCGUAGAUAUCGGGAGGAACACCAGUGGCGAAGGCGGCUCCUGGACCGGUUCUGACACUGAGGAGCGAAAGCGUGGGGAGCGGAUCCGG